GAGGCUGUGGCUCAGCGGUAGAGCAUUCGCUUGGCAUGUAGAAGGUCGCAGGUUCAAUUCCCAGCAUUUUCA
rnacentral:tRNA from 1 species